rnacentral:rRNA from 1 species
UGAGGAAUAUUGGACAAUGGGGGCAACCCUGAUCCAGCCAUGCCGCGUGAGUGAAGAAGGCCUUCGGGUUGUAAAGCUCUUUCAGGUGCGACGAUAAUGACGGUACCACCAGAAGAAGCCCCGGCUAAAUUCGUGCCAGCAGCCGCGGUAAUACGAAUGGGGCAAGCGUUGUUCGGAAUCACUGGGCUUAAAGCGUGCGUAGGCGGCAAUGAAAGUCAGAAGUGAAAUCCCUGGGCUCAACCCAGGAAUUGCUUUUGAAACUCCAUUGCUAGAAUCCAGGAGAGGUUAGCAGAAUUCCCAGUGUAGAGGUGAAAUUCGCAGAUAUUGGGAGGAAUACCAGUGGCGUAGGCGGCUAACUGGACUGGUUUUGACGCUGAGGUACGAAAGCGUGGGUAGCAAACAGG